AAGGAGUCUAACAUGCUUGCGAGUAUUUGGGUGUCAAACCCGGAUGCGUAAUGAAAGUGAAUGGAGGUGGGAAGCGCAAGCCGCACCAUCGACCGAUCUGGAUUUUCUAAGAUGGAUUUGAGUAAGAGCACGUAUGUUGGGACCCGAAAGAUGGUGAACUAUGCCUGAAUAGGGCGAAGCCAGAGGAAACUCUGGUGGAGGCUCGUAGCGGUUCUGACGUGCAAAUCGAUCGUCAAAUUUGGGUAUAGGGGCGAAAGACUAAUCGAACCAUCUAGUAGCUGGUUCCUGC
rnacentral:misc_RNA from 1 species